rnacentral:rRNA from 1 species
UGGGGAAUAUUGGACAAUGGGCGCAAGCCUGAUCCAGCAAUGCCGCGUGUGUGAAGAAGGCCUGCGGGUUGUAAAGCACUUUCAGUGGGGAGGAAGUGAUUAUCGUGAAUAGCGAUGAUUGUUGACGUUACCCACAGAAGAAGCACCGGCUAACUCUGUGCCAGCAGCCGCGGUAAUACAGAGGGUGCAAGCGUUAAUCGGAAUUACUGGGCGUAAAGGGUGCGUAGGUGGUUGAUUAAGUUGUAUGUGAAAUCCCUGGGCUUAACCUAGGAAUUGCGUACAAGACUGGUCGACUAGAGUUUGGGAGAGGGAAGUGGAAUUUCCGGUGUAGCGGUGAAAUGCGUAGAUAUCGGAAGGAACACCAGUGGCGAAGGCGACUUCCUGGCCCGAUACUGACACUGAGGCACGAAAGCGUGGGGAGCAAACAGGAUUAGAUACCCCCGUAGUCC